rnacentral:rRNA from 1 species
GUACGGGGGGGCGAAGCGUUGUUCGGAAUUACUGGGCGUAAAGGGCUCGUAGGCGGCCAACUAAGUCAGACGUGAAAUCCCUCGGCUUAACCGGGGAACUGCGUCUGAUACUGGAUGGCUAGAGGUUGGGAGAGGGAUGCGGAAUUCCAGGUGUAGCGGUGAAAUGCGUAGAUAUUCGCAAGAACACCAGUGGCGAAGGCGGCUCACUGGCCCGAUACUGACGCUGAGGCACGGAAAGCGUGGGGAGCAAACAGG